rnacentral:rRNA from 1 species
UACAGAGGGUGCAAGCGUUGUUCGGAAUUAUUGGGCGUAAAGCGCGUGUAGGCGGCUUUGCAAGUCGGGUGUGAAAGCCCUCAGCUCAACUGAGGAAGUGCGCCCGAAACUGCAGAGCUUGAGUACCGGAGAGGAUGGCGGAAUUCCCCAAGUAGAGGUGAAAUUCGUAGAUAUGGGGAGGAGCACCGGUGGCGAAGGCGGCCAUCUGGACGGAUACUGACGCUGAGACGCGAAAGCGUGGGUAGCAAACAGG